UGCUGAAAUUCUUCAACGCUCGGUGCUACUGCAGAAUGCAUUUACUGCUACUUUUGAGUUUAUGGGCCACAUUCUUGAACGCUGCAGCCAAUUAAAUGAUCCUUCAUCGAGCUAUCUGUUACCUGGUAUAAUGGUUUUUGUGGAAUGGUUGGCUUGUCAUCAAGAUAUUGCAGUUGGAAGUGAAUUGGAGGAAAAACAAGCGAGUGCUAGGAUAUUUUUCUGGAACAACUGUAUCUCCUUCUUCAACAGGCUCAUAUCUUCAGGGUUUAUGUUUGUUGAUGAAGAUGAAGAAGAGACAUGUUUUUCUAACAUGAGCAGGUAUGAUGAAAGUGAAACCGCUAAUCGGCUGGCAUUAUCUGAGGACUUUGACUUGAGGGGAUUUGUUCCUCUUCUUCCUGCGCAACUCAUUCUUGAUUUUUCAAGGAAGCAUUCCUUCAGAAGCGACAGCAAUAAGGAAAAAAAGGCCCGUGUUCAGAGGAUUAUAGCGGCUGGAAAGGCUCUUGCUAAUGUGGUCCGGAUUGGGGAAGAGGGAAUUUACUUUGACACAAAAUCGAAGAGAUUUGUUGUUGGCGUUGAACCUCAAGUUUCUGAUGAUUUUUCACUUACUACUACUUUGGAAGCCCCAAAAUUAAGUGGUGUAGUGGAGGAUAAUCUAGUUUCAGGUCAAAUGACUCCUAGGGCCUUGGAGCAAAAGCCGCAGUUGUACAUGGAAGGUGAAGAAGAGGAUGAUGAGGUAAUUGUGUUCAAGCCAUCUAUGACUGAAAAGCAUUUAGAUGGGAUAGCUUUAAAUCCGACUUCUUCAGAGGUCUUUGGAUCUACUAUGAAUGCUGCCAGUAUAGGGGGUGAUGUUGGAUCUUCUCUAUCGGACGUGAGGGUUAUAUUGCACAGAAUGCUUUCAGUGCAAGCUUAAGGCCACCUACUUCCCUUGUGAAUUCUAGUUAUCUGCAACCAGUUCAACCAAGUACGACUUGGAUGGCAGAACAAGGAACUCUUGUGAAUGGGCUUGGUAAUUUGAAUUUGUUCGAGAAUGGGUUCAUAAAGAAACCUGAAUCGCAUAAACACUUUGGAGCUUUGCCAGCUCAAACCUUUCCUGUUUCCCUUCCAGACUCAAGUUUUGGCACUGGCAGCAAUUUCCCUAAUCAGUUACCCGAAACUGUGGUACCUUCAAAGCUUGAUUCAAUCAUGUCUCUAGGAGCUGAUAACAUAUCCAUGAAGCCUUCAUCAGUCUCACCUGCUGGGUUGAAGAAAAAUCCAGUAGGUCGACCUCUUCGGCAUCUCGGUCCUCCACCUGGCUUUGGUUCUGUACCAUCCAAAACUGUUGAUGAGUCACUAUCUGCUAUGUCCUUUAAGAACGAAAAUGCUACCAUUCCCCAAAUGGAUGAUUACAGCUGGCUCGAUGGCUAUCAGUUGCCUCUGGUCAAUAGAAGUGUGGCCGGGCUUAAUAGUUCUAAUCAUCCAGGACAGGGUUACCCUAUUGGUAGCAAGAGCAGCAGCUCAAUGGGGAUGCCGAGCUUUCCUUUUCCUGGGAAGCAGACAACUACAUUGCAAGUCCCAAUUGAGAAUGAGAAGAGUUGGCAGGAUUACCAGUUCUCUGAACAGAUGAAACUAUUCAAGGAGCAACAGCAGCAACUUCAGAAAGCAAAUCAGCAAUCUGCUGUGUUGCAACAGCAGUUCAGGGACAAUCUCUUUGGGAAGGUCGUUUCUUUGUGUGAGAGAUUAUGAAGGGUAGAUGGUAAGAUGCAUAACUUUCUGUUUGAGCCUCGUGUUCAAUAAAUACUCAAUUUUUUAUUUCAAGAUUGAAAUGCUUAUUUUGCUCUUUUCUUAUUUGUGAAGGUUGUGAACACUUUACAACAGCAGUUGUCCAGUUCUUGGUGCUGCAAGUUCAGCCAUCGUGCAUUUGCAGUGUGGCCAAUGUUAUUAAGUUUUUCUUGGAGCAUGGAUGGUCUUGGAAUCUAGCAGGCACCUGCUAUUGAACGGGUAUAUCUUUUGUACCCCUCUCUGUGGCAAGUGUAAAGUCUGAUUUUGUUGACCACUGUGCAGUUGUAUGGAGAUGGUUUAAGGACUAAAAGAAUAAUUGGAGAUUUAUGUUAGGGCAUAUAAUGAUUGGCGCAUUGUGCAUCUUACACGCUCUACUCAUCUCUUUGCUUGCGUUGCUGGUCUGUUUUACCAUUCUAUGUAACCUGUUACAAGCUAUGCUAUAGAUAAGUUGGAGGAUGUGGGGGAAUGAGGAUCAUUUCCUGUCCUUGCACUUCUAUAUAUUAAAGAAUCUUUGUGAUGUUCUGAGGAUGUGUGUGCAAUUCUUUAUGAGUACGUGCAAUUCUUUAUGAGUACUGUGAGUGGUGAUAGAAUAUUUUCUUGUGACAUUGCUAACACAUUUUUUUUUUAAAUUGCUGUGCAGCUGGUGCCGAGCUUUCCAGGCUGGUUGACACUGAUUAUGAUGUCGAUAGGUGCAAAAAUUGGGAGAUUUCUGAUAUUAAGUGCCUUGUCUGGUUGGAUGGGUUGGACGUGACUUCAGAUUUGGGAUUGUGGUGGGAAACUGGAAGGGAAUAAAAGAUAUACUAGCAAAUUUACCUGGCUCAUAGAAGGUAUUUAUGAGGAGUGUAGUAGUCUCUGCCGGGCAUGCCAUGAUGAGCAGUUCCCAUUGGUUGAAUGCUGAAGGUAAGUUUCUUGGCAGUCCCAUGUCUGCCCAGAAGUUCUCAAGUGAGAAUCAUGGAAGAUGGUUAUGUUAUAAUUGGAGUUAUCUUGUGGACGUUGGUUGGCAAUAAAUAUGCGAGUAUGAACGCAUACAGUAUUCAACUUUCAGGGUUGAUAAUAUAGACUGAUGCUGUAUUUGUGCUUUUGUGUUCUGCUGUGUGGACAAAGUGGUAUUACCACUGAGACUUGGAAUCUCUCUCUUUGACGUCUAGAGAUAUGUUACUUAUUUUGAUGUUUAUUCUAUCUUUCAAAUGUCCUCUCAGUUAUCGAAUCUAUGAAAGCAGAUAUCUUUUGUCCAUUGGUUGCCUUUGCAUAUUUUAAACGUCUGAAUUAUGAUAUUUUGUGGGAGGGGGGGGGGGGAAGAAUACUAGUGUAACCUCUCUAUGAAACUACUGCUAGAUCAGAAUAACCUUGUGCUGCGGAUCUAAAUUGCAAGUGUGUGACAAAACGAGAGAGAAAUUCUUCCUUUUGUUAGUUUGACAUUGUUUUAGCAGCUGAAUUGAAGGAUGUUUAGUUUGGUGUGGAAUGACAAUGCCAGAAGCGAUGGAGGAAUUUUGUUAACUGAACAUUUCAGACAACACUGAAAAUCUUUGUACUUGGUAAUUGAUGGCAUUUUCUGAGUGGUGAGGGGACGGAACUAAAUUCUCUGGUUCUGCUUCGGAAAGGGUAGAGGGUUUUACAAGCGUUUCCUGCUUGAUCACUGCUUUCCAUUUUUGUUUAAUUGCAUUUGAAGGUGGUAGAGAUGCUACCAAUUGUUGCUGGGAAAUGGGCUUCCCUGGCGCAACCUGAUGUUGUCAUUCAUUCUUGUUAGUCUCGCGAGACAAUGUGAUAUUGCGUUUUGUUGGAGAUGUAAAAGAAAUGUAUCUCUCUUUACCAUGUCUAUUUCAUUAUGUAAUAACAACAACAACAAUGAGAAUAAUAAUAAUAAUAACAAUAACAAUAAGAAUAAUAAUAACAAUAAUUACAACAAUAAUAAUAAUACUCCCUCCGUUCCACUUUGAUAGUUCUAUUUUUCUUUUUCAUCUGUCCCAAAUUGUAGUCCACUUUUCAAUUGAAGAAUGUAGUUGUAUUUUAAUUUUUUUAAAAUAUCCUUAUUCAAUGGAAGUUGUUGUUACUAUAAAUCUACUCCAUUUAAUGAGAGUUGAUUCUUUUUUUACCAUCAAUUCAAGUUCCCAUAAAAUUGUACUCUAAUAAAUGUGAGGGUAUUUUAGGAAAAUAGUUACCCAAAUUGAUUGUUCUAUCAAAGUUAAUUACUUUUUAUUAAACUGUGUGGAAAAAAGAACCAGGACUAUCAAAGUGGGACGGAUAGAGUAACAAAACACAGUUAGUUGAUGGGAGUCAUUAUUGUUUCGUUAUGAAGUUGGUGGUGCAACAAAUUACUAUAUCUUUUUACACAGCAAAUGAACUAGAAAAAUACCACUUGAAAGCAGAAAUUCCUGUCAUUCACAAGUUCCUUUUCAUGAAGGUGUACGUGUGUUAGUAAACACGGAAAGAAUAUAUAUUGUCCGCUGCGUUUGUGAUUUUGACCAUAUCAAAGAAACGUAAGAGGCUACUAAAUUAGUCUAGUCCUUAAAAUGUUGAUCAAGCAAUUAUUAAAAGUUUAGAAUAUCCCACUAGGUAAAUGUUUAUACUUAAAGCAAAAUUUUAAUCCUAGACAAAAUGCUAUAUCAAGACCAUGCCCAGCUGAUGUCCUGCUCGAUAAUCUAAUUUAGUAUUUGAACUUAAUAAAUUAAGAUCUUAACAUGUUUAGAAAUGUUUGAUAAUCAAAAAUAGAUCAUCUUAAUUAAUUAAGUGACGGUCUGAAUUGUGUAGGUAAAACUUUAUUCUAAAAAAUAAGUGAUAAACCAUUAUCAUUUAAUAUAGAAUGCAUUCAAAUGUUAGUAUUUUAGUAUUUACACUUCAAUAAAUUAAUAGAUUCAGAUAUCAGUUUUAUCAAAUGCACCCUAUGUCUUGUUCUUAGAUGGUGUGCACUUCGAUUGCUGCUACUAUUCUUAUACCUGAUUGAUGCUAAAAAAAAUGGUAGCCAUACUUGUGGUCUUCACUUUCUUCAUCGACACCCAUCCCCACUGAUGAGGUGAUUUUUGGGUGCGCAAGGCGAGUUGACAACGAGAUCACCUGUCAAAGUAGAGAAUGGCUGGGGUCUAGCCCUUCGGUCAUACUAAAGUCAGUUAUAGAUAAGGAGUUAAAGGAUAAACAGUAGUAGUGAAUCCCCCUUUUCGUGAGGGGUGAGAGGGGUAUUUAUAGUAGAGGAAUCUAUGGGGGAAAAUGAUGAAGUCUACUCCCUCCGUGGCACUAGGAGGAGGCCUAGGGCAGCGGUGUUAGGUGUAGACCUGAGCGGUAGGUAGGGUGCCUGGCGGCUACAUUCCUACCAAUCCUAAGUCGUGUAGGCAGCCAAGGUGUUGAGGAGCCGUAGAAAUAGGUGUAGGUGAGGUGGAAUACUAAUCCAAAAGGUCUCGUCAGUGACCUCGGUCGAAACGAAACGAGAUUUCUUUUAUUUGAACGAGAUGCUCGGACUGAUGGGACCUGAAUAGAUAGGGGUACCCCGAGGUCCUGAGCAGAUCGAGGUGCCCACACCCACCAAGUACAGCAACAAGACAAGCAAGGUACUAUUUUACUUGGCUUGUUAGCCCGAUUCUUACUCGAGCCACCAAUUUUCUUUGAUUUAGGUUAAAAAGACAAAAAGGAUUGUCGAGUAGGUCUUGAUAUAGUGGCUAAUCUAUAAAUUAGAUGUUCAAAUUUAAAUCUCUCUUCCCCUCUCCAUUUCUUAAAUUCCACCAUUCCUCUAUUAAAAAAAUAAUAAAAAAGAAAAGAAAUGGGAUGGUAGCUCAUUGUGCAAACUUUAUUAAUUUGUAGUCUACUUCAGGCAUCAUCACUUUGCAAAUUCGGUUCAUAUGUAUUUGACAUAAAAUGGACCCUUUUGAAUUUUAUGGUUGACAAAGGACAUUAUGAAACAGAUCAAAACUUCGUUAUUUAAUUCUGGAAUAGGAAGAAAAAUGGAUGGUUUUUAUUUUUUUAAAUUUUCUUUUGUUAGGGAGACCACAAUUUGUAUAGCUACUAAUGUCAUGUCACAGUCAUAGGCACUCAGAAUGACUAUUUCAAUUCAUGAGCUGAGAAACCAAAGAAUAAAGACUUGAUUAUGAGAACACUGAACCUUGUAAACAGUUUCUGGUGGCAAGAUUUUAUACACCUCUUUCUAUAAGUCUACAGUCCGCUAUCGCGAUUAGCGAACGAAUGUCUAACUCUGUGCUCUGUGUGUGUGUAAACAAUCAAAGAAUACAGGGGGAAGAAAUAUGUUUGUACAGAAAUAAAAAGAAUGAACAUAACAAGAAAUUGUCGUCUAAGCCACAGCCAUUAUGACACAGUUUGGUCCUCCAAGACGUAUUGGAGCAAUGCAUAAUUGUUGGUGGGCGUUUCAUCUUAGUAUAUGAAUCAAGCUCCAUCUUGUUAGCCUUAUGGAUGUGCUACAAAUAAGCAUAAGUAAGGGAUUGGAGGCUUGCAGUUGCGGCUGAUCCUUCAAAUGUCUUCUGCAAAAACUUUGAAUAUGUAAUCUCGAAAACGCCUCGAGUAUUGUUUAGGAUCCACAGCUGAUAUGGAAGUUGGAUCAUAUUGGAUGGACUUGUAUGCAUGCUCGAGCUUCUUGGAAAUGUCAUAGUCUUGAAGUAUGUCUAUGAUGCUAAAGAAUAUUAUUACAUCAUAGUAUUCUCCAGUUGGUUCUCCUACUAGCUGAAUUUCGCCAUCGUUUUUCCUCUCUGUCCUUUCAACCUUGGCAGGCAUAUUCACUCCCAAUCUGAUGCUAGCCCACCUGUGGUGACAAAAGAUUGUAAAUAUAUUUAGCACUGAAGGGUUACCGAGAGAUUGAUUGUAAUCGUAAGAGAUUGUAGAUGAACAACGGUAAUGUUUUUGUUGAAUAGGAUGACUAAUUACCCUGCAGGAUCCAGAAGCAGUUGAUCCAUGUCUGCUCUAGAAAGGCGGGGAAGAGAUUCUUCUGCACCACCAUUAUCUGCUUAAUGUGGAGAGACGUUUCUUAGUUGUUUCAAAAGUGAUAGCUUCUUUAAUUCUUGAUAAGGAAUUAACCAAGAAAAAGAGGCCAAUAACAUAUAACAGCCAAGAAUAAUUAAUGACUAAAAGAUGAUGAUGGUAUAUGAUGGCACAGGGCUUAAAUUGGUAAUUACCUGUUGGUGUUACACAACCAGGGGGAGUAUGGUCGCAGCUGUUUGUUGCUUCUCUGAAGUGAAGACCAACCAAAAGGCUAUAGUCCAUUAUCCUCUCCUGCUCGAGAAACUCACAGUCCCUGUCAACUUGUCUGCAAGAAGAAGUUUUGUUUUUAACUCCUUGCAAAAGGUGAAGCAGAAAAGGGUAGAGAAAUGACCAAUUUCUCUUUAGUUUGAGAUCUCAAUCCUCACUCUUUGGAUGCAAAUGAAGAUAGAAUUCUUAGGUUUGUCUGUAUGCAGCAUAUCAAGCAAGUUUACUGGUCUGAGAGUUUUUAUACUUAGCCCCAUUUUUUAUUAGUUUAUUUAACCAGUUUUAGGGUUUUGCCGCUAUUGCCAGGAGGUUAAAGGGGUGUUCUAUCGAGUUUGUUGUGGAAAAAAUAUCAAGUGACUUAGAACUCUUUUUAGGGGAUUCUGUCUUGGUUGUACUUAAAAUAAGUCCUUCUGGAGCCUGAUCUCAUGGUUACUAGUUAGUGCAAAUUGUAUAUGUGAUUUUUUUUUCUUCUAAAAGACUUGCAUUCUAUUGCAGGAUUUACUUCAAAAUAUUCAUGCAUGAUGGUUUUGAUGUGCUGUAGGUUCUUUUGCGGAUUAGAUGUAUGUUGCCAACGGGGUUACUGAUUUUAAAGUUCAUCAGUUCAAUCAUUUGAUGGAUAAUGACUAUUCCGAUGGAUAACAAUCCAGAUAAUUCAUCAAGGGAGCGUGUUCAAAAACUUUUUAACAAGGUAUGCUCAUGUGUCCCCUUGUAUUUUCUGUCAUUUGUAUGAUAAGUAGUUGAAUAGGCAUAAUAUCCGUGGUUGUAUUACAGUUACUUGUUUUCUAGCUGGAUAUCUUUCUUGCGGUGAAGCGUGGUAUUCAUUUAUUACAUUUAUUUUGGUUCAUGUGUUCCUUUAGAAUGUUGAGCUGGAAAAUAGGCGUCGUAAGGCAGCUCAGGCCAGAAUUCCUUCUGACCCAAAUGCAUGGCAACAAAUGCGGGAGAACUAUGAAGCUAUUGUCUUAGAAGAUCAUGCCUUUUCUGAACAACAUGAAAUAGAGUAUGCCUUGUGGCAGUUGCAUUACAGAAGAAUUGAGGAAUUGCGAGCACACUUCAAUGCUGCUGCUGCUUCUGUUUCAGCAGGAUCAAAUACAUCACAGAACGGUAAAGGUCCAACACGUGGUGGACCUGAUCGACUUACAAAGAUCCGUACUCAAUUUAAAACCUUCCUGUCAGAGGCCACUGGAUUUUAUCAUGAUUUAAUGUUGAAGAUUAGGGCGAAGUAUGGUUUGCCAUUGGGUUAUUUCUCCGAUGAUUCAGAGAAUCAGAUUCCUUUAUGUAAAGAUGGGAAUAAAUCUGCAGAAGUGAAGAAAGGAUUGAUAUCCUGUCAUCGUUGUUUGAUUUAUCUGGGGGAUCUUGCUCGUUAUAAGGGCUUGUAUGGUGAAGGUGAUUCUAAAUCUCGGGACUUUGCAGCAGCUUCUAGUUACUACAUGCAAGCAGCUUCCCUUUGGCCUUCAAGUGGCAAUCCGCAUCACCAGGUGUUGUAUUUCUUGGCCAUUUGCUUGGUGAUUUACUUUUUUUUUUUUUUCAUUUUGAACAGGUUAUUAGUACAUAGCUUGCCUGAUUUAUUCUGUGAUCUAUUGCUUUUCAGCUUGCUAUUUUGGCUUCCUACUCUGGUGAUGAAUUGGUGGCCAUUUACCGGUAUUUUCGAAGCUUGGCAGUUGAUAGUCCAUUUACAACAGCUAGAGAUAACUUGAUUAUUGCAUUUGAGAAGGUGAGCUUUUCAAAAGAACAAUUUAUGACGAAAGGAGCCUUUAUUUUCUUUUUGCUCCUGCUUUUAGACAAUUAUUCAUUUCAGUGCAGUGUUGCUACUUAAAUUGUGCAUAAAUCAUGGUUACAGUCAAUACUGGUUAAUCUCUGAUUCUCUAUGUUGAAUAUCUUCCUGGGUCUCUGUUUUGUGUAUUUGGAAUGUCUAUUUUGACCAUCUGAGUUGUAUGGUCCUGGGCAAAAACUUGUGUUGGAGAAUCUGCCAUGUCAUAACCAUUAACAAACCAGAGUUUCCAGCACUCGACACAACGAUCUUCCCUUCUAAGUAGUUCUAUCUCACUAAUUCCCAUAGCUCAACCAUCUCAACCCACAACCAUCGGCUGCCAAGACCUGGAUGCCUCUUUCAACCCACCACCAUCGACCGGUAACAUCUGGAUCUCGAUGCCUCUAGACACCACAUUUUAGGGCAAUUUGAUAUCCUUCCACUAUUCUACCAGAUCAAACACCAACAGUACCGGAGACCCUAUCUUAUCCCUCUAACUGCCUUUCCUUCCUUGCUUCACCAUUAUUACAACCACCACACAACUCCCCUUGUGCAUUUGAAGGAGGUCUGUUGUGGUCAUUGGAUGGAGGCAAUUGUUAAGUAGUUGAUUCUUGGGUAAUAAAAUAAAGUUCAGUAUCGACUUGAAAUCAAGAUGUUAUAGCCCUGCCAGUAAAUUGAUUAUAGCAGGUUGAGAGUUCCAUCGUUCCAUUGGUUUAAGCUAGAAAGAAGUAAUAGAAUGGGAAUUUAUCUUAAGUUCCAUGCAUAUCUGGAGUUUAGCUUUUGUAUGGACAAUUAUAUCCUGCACUUUGUACAUGCACUUGCUCAAGUACUAUUUUCUUCUAAUGUUUUGUAUGUUUCUGUUAUUUUUUGUUCAAAUUUGAAUGACAGAACCAUUCUUAAGCUGGUUUUUCCUGCUCCUGCUCCUGCUCCUGAUCCUUGUUUCCUCCUUGAUAAUGAAACAUGAAAUGUUUGUCAAAAUACUGAUUUUAUGAUCGAUUUGGCAGAAUCGCCAGAGCUUUGCCCAGCUGCUCGGAGAUGCCAGAGCUUCCUCUGUCAAGACAACUUCAGUGCGUGGAAAUGGGAAAGGAAGGGGCAGAGGUGAAAGCAGGGUUGCAUCCAAGGAUAACAAAGUAGAAGCAAGUUCUGUCAAGGAAAAAACAUCCACCACAUUGGAAACUUUCAGAGCAUUUGGGAUACGAUUUGUUCGGCUAAAUGGCAUUCUCUUCACACGCACAAGGUAUUACUUUUCUUGUUAAUUGUAGUGUUGUAAAUAUUCGGUACACUUAAUGAUGUGUUCUAUUGCUAAUUUGAAUCAGCUUGGAGACAUUUGGGGAUGUUUUUGCUGUGGUUAGAGGUGAUUUGCUGGAGCUUCUUUCUUCUGGGACUGAUGAGGAGUACAAUUUUGGGUCAGAUGCUACUGAUUGUAGACUGGCUAUUGGCAGAAUGGUUGCUAUUCUCAUUUUCACCAUUCACAAUGUGAAUAGGGAAACUGAGAACCAGUCCUAUGCUGAAAUUCUUCAACGCUCGGUCCUACUGCAGAAUGCAUUUACUGCUACUUUUGAGUUUAUGGGCCACAUUCUUGAACGCUGCAGCCAAUUAAAUGAUCCUUCAUCGAGCUAUCUGUUACCUGGUAUCAUGGUUUUUGUGGAAUGGUUGGCUUGUCAUCAAGAUAUUGCAGUUGGAAGUGAAUUGGAAGAAAAACAAGCGAGUGCUAGGUUAUUUUUCUGGAACAACUGUAUCUC
rnacentral:lncRNA from 1 species